rnacentral:rRNA from 1 species
GGACAACCUGCCCUUAGGUUGGGUAUAAACCCGGGAAACUGGGUAUAAUACCCGAUAGGUCUCGAUUGCUGGAAUGCAUCGAGAUUUAAAGCUCCGGCGCCUAAGGAUGGGUCUGCGGCCUAUCAGGUAGUAGUGGGUGUAGCGUACCUACUAGCCUACGACGGGUACGGGUUGUGAGAGCAAGAGCCCGGAGAUGGAUUCUGAGACACGAAUCCAGGCCCUACGGGGUGCAGCAGGCGCGAAAACUUUACAAUGCUGGCAACAGCGAUAAGGGAACCUCGAGUGCCAGGUUACAAAUCUGGCUGUCGAGAUGCCUAAAAAGCAUUUCAUAGCAAGGGCCGGGCAAGACCGGUGCCAGCCGCCGCGGUAACACCGGCGGCUCGAGUGGUAACCGUUAUUAUUGGGUCUAAAGGGUCUGUAGCCGGCCGGAUAAGUCUCUUGAGAAAUCUGGCAGCUUAACUGUCAGGCUUUCAGGAGAUACUGUCUGGCUCGAGGCCGGGAGAGGUGAGAGGUACUUCAGGGGUAGGGGUGAAAUCUUGUAAUCCUUGAAGGACCACCAGUGGCGAAGGCGUCUCACCAGAACGGACCUGACGGUGAGGGACGAAAGCU